GGGGGGGAAAAGUGGCCCGGGAGUUACUGUCAGACCGGCCCACUCAAUACACGGCGCGCGGCCCACUCAGUACACAGCGCGCUGCCCACUCAAUACACGGCUAUUACACGAAUAAAAUGAUACUGGCUAUUGUAACACUCCAAGGUAGGUAUAGCUAGAUGAAUAUGGUUAACUCUGGGCUAGUAUCAGAUGGUUAUACGUAUUACUACAUGUAACAGGUUAGAAAAGCAGGUUUAAAUAAUUGCACCACAUAAUCUGUUACCUGUAUUUCAGUUUCUUUUUAAUCUUUUAUUUUGAUAUCACAAGCACACUGGUAUUGGGGGUCUCUGCUAGCCCCCCCUGUCUCCCCCUGUUUUGUUCCUCUCUCCCCCCUUCCUCUUUCCUGUUUGACAUAUGCUGGGAAUGAGCAUUGAGAGUGAAGCUAAGAUACGGUAGCUCACCAAACUGUGUGUCUGUUGGUGUGAUUUCACAGUGUCUUUCAAGAGUUUGGGUGGAAUGGAUAUUUCCUAUGAUUCUCUGCCAAAGUAUCACUGUGGAAAUGAAAGUCUCACUCUAAGGUUUGCUACUACCAGACAAACAGAUGUCUUCUUUCUCACAGAGAAACUUAAACCCAUUCCAGUGCAGAAGCUCCCAAAAGACUGCAAACACACAGCCGUCAAGCAUG
ensembl:lncRNA